AGCUGAAGGAAGACCGGGCCGCCGGGCCGUGACCGGGGGCUGCAGGGGUGCGGUGGGGUGGACGUGUGAGCUCAGAGCGGUGGCCAGAGCCCUGGGGCUGGGUUCUCUGGGGACGUGGGAGCCCCAGGAACGGGCCCUCCGGCUGUUGUAUCCAGGAUGGGGGUGGGGGCCAGGGCAGAGCAGGAAGCGGCUUGGCCUGGACGGGUGCCGGGGGCAGGGUUGCGAUUUGCUUCUGAAGGCAGAGCCCGGGUCUAACUGGUCUGUUGUUAGGUUGUUUCCAAGGCCCUGCCGGCGCCGCCGUGGACAGCAUCCUGGUGCAUCUCUGGAGCGACACCCAGAGGGGAACUGCUGGCGUGUGACGUGCGGCUCAGUGCGUCCUUGUGUCCCCGAGGCCCGUCCCCUUGCGGUGGCCUGCCGUGCUGGCCAGGCUGGGCCAAGCGUCCAGUGUGCUCCGAGGCACACCUUGGGUCUGGCCGUCCCGUGCUACCUCCCUAACCUCCAUCCCCUGAUACUCCCAGCCAGGUUUCCGGGCAGCACUGCCCGCAUCCGGCCACGCCAACCCGCCGCCCCAGAGCCGCACAGUCCCCGGGAGACCAGGGAUUACACUUGAGAAGCCCCGCUCCACAGUGCUGCCCUCCUGACGCUCAGAAUCACCAUCGUGGUGGACCGGGACCCUGGUGACUGACCCAGCGUGCAUUGUGCGCCUGUGCUAACCAGACCUCCCCGCGCUGAAAUACCUGCUCACGCACGAAGACUGACUUUCCUCCUUCUGACACCAGCCGUGUAACUCCUUAGGAGACAGCGUUCCUGUAAAAGGGGUCACAACGACCCGCCGCUCGCCUGUUCUACAAGAAUCAAGCCCUCAGCCACUGCAGUCACUGACCUACAAGGAAUUCGGGGUGAAGAUCAGGAUGAGGGCCUCUGUGCUCUGGGAAAACUGGAGGAACAGGCCCUCAGAUGAUAUCCUCAGGAGAAAAUUUUUAUGAUGCUGGAUGCUUGCAUCUUCCCGGACUUAGAAAAGCACUCAAAUCAUUAGCUGAGAUGUCUGUUCCUGGUGACCAGCAGCAGCCUUCUACCGACAUGUGUGCUUGGUGGCACGUACCCCUUCCCCCAAAUCACACGUAUGCUGACCGUCCCCACCUCCUCGGAACAGAUCUCAGCGCUCCUGAAAGACUGUUUCCAGGCUGCAGUCCUCAAUUUCGCUCAAAUACAGUUCUCCAUUUCUUUCUUAGAUUGAAUAUCGAUUAAGGUUUUUCUGGACAGGAUGAAGCCGCUGAAAGCACCCCCUCCACGAAGGUGGCGUCAGGACAAACUGACCUUCCAGAGCUUGGUGCCCGGUGCCCCCCGGGCCCAGGCCUCUCCCAUCCUCGUGGUGCAUCAGGGAGGCUGCUUCCCAUUGAGUCACGCCCCCGGCCAAUUCAGCCCAUCCAGCCCAUGCCUGAGCCCGGGGGGUGGUGUUGGGGGCCCUGGGCUCCAGGGAAGUGUUUGGAUGCCGCAUCAAAGUCCGCGUCAGGGCUGGGGCUGGGACGAAGCGUCCUUCCUGGGAGAGCCCGUGACACGCCCACCCUCGUGAUCCCAGGUAUACCACGGGACACCCCCCCCCGCCGGCAUCCCUGGCACCCGCCACCAGGUCCUCCCCGACAGCUGUGGACACAGAGAGGGGCUGGCCAGGAGGGGCCGGGGCCCAAGGGAGGAGGGAGGGUUUCCAGCUUCCACCCGGCUCGGAGGGGGUGGCCGAGGACGGCGGCCCCCGUGACAGGAAACGGGUGCCCACCAGCCCGCAGGGGACCAGACAACACCCAGAGUACCGUCUUCAGGCCUGACAGGCUUCAGACGACCAGAAAACUGCGUGGCCUCUGGGUUCCUGUGCCUGCACUGUUGUGUGGGUUUAAACAGCAUCUCGGUGAAUGGGACCACCAUCCUGCAGGGAGCUUUGGCCGAACGUCGGAGCCCGCUCUGCUACACACCUUGACCCAGAAAUUCCAUUUUUGAUACCUGCUCUAAGGAAAUGCCACACCAAGACCCUUCUACACACAAGGGAAGGGGCCUAACGCCUACCCAUCUGAGGUUCAAGACACUGCUCCCCAGAUUCUGCAGACCCGGUGGGGAUGCCAUCCCAGCCCCUCUGCGGGGUUUCCCACACUGCUGGGGCCACUUCCCAGACGACAAGCACCAGGGCCUGGGCAGGGCCAAGGUCUCUGACAGGUGCUGGGGACUCCGGAGCUGGAGGGGCAGUGGCAGCAGUGGGUUGCACCUUGGCCUUGCAGCCCCGGACACACCUGGCUUCUCUGAGUCCAGCACUGGCCUGGCAGUGCCAGGAGGCUGGAGGUGGGGCACCCCUCUGCUGGGGUGGGCACGGCAGACUAGGACACACUCUACCAUUAAGUCAAACAUGUUAGCUGCCAGUGAGAUUAUCUGUGAUUUCUACUUUUUUCUUCCUACAUCUCUGUAUUUUCUAG